AAAAAGUUUCUACUUCCUCCCCAACACUUUUUAAGAUCAGGGGAAUGACUGUCCUGUAAAACCUAGUUUACAGAAUUGUCACAAAUUCGGGUGCAUCAAUCCUUGGCCUUUCAAGAGAGCGAUACAUAUAUAAUAUCUCAAAACCAUCUUUAUCCUCCUCGUUCUCAUUCCUAAUCACUUCCACCACUAGACCAGGCAUUGCUCGUGCAAUCUCCUCACAUCCUUGGCGAGAUAAUCUACAGGAGGACAUCCAGAGGAAUCUCAUAUUGUAAUAGUGGUGUAAACCAGAUCGCAGAGCCGCAUCUCCAAAGGGGCUAUCUCUGAUCUC
rnacentral:lncRNA from 1 species